CACUAUGGCCAUGCCACUCGGAACGCGCCCGAUCUCGUCUGAUCUCGGAAGCUAAGCAGGGUCAGGCCUGGUUAGUACUUAGAUGGGAGACUAUCUAGGAAGACCAAGUGCUGUAGGAA
rnacentral:rRNA from 1 species